rnacentral:rRNA from 1 species
GACGUAGGGCGCGAGCGUUGUCCGGAUUUAUUGGCGUAAAGAGCUCGUAGGCGGCUCAUUGAUCGUCAACCGUGAAAACCAGCAGCUCAACUGUUGGCUUGCGGUUGAUACGGGUGGGCUGGAGUUCGGUAGGGGAGACUGGAAUUCCUGGAUGUAGCGGUGAAAUGCGCAGAUAUCAGGAGGAACACCGAUGGCGAAGGCAGGUCUCUGGGCCAUAAACUGACGCUGAGAAGCGGAAAGCCAUGGGGAGCGAACAGG